rnacentral:lncRNA from 1 species
UGCUAACACUCCUGUCUCAGCCUUUCAAGUAUCUGGCAUUGUCACCAGGAGGGGGUUCCAUUGUUCCUAGGUGGAGGGCGAAAGAGUUUUCGAAAAGAGGACAUGGAGGCUUCAAUUUAUGCUAAAAAAACAUUUCUCGAUCCCUGGUACCAAUAAAAAGGAAAAAGACAAAAAAACAAAAAACUAUUGUUUGAGAGACAGACACCAGCUUCUCCCUGUGAGUCAGAGCCAUUUGCAGAUCAGGAAAAGACAGAAUAAAGCCAUACCAGCAAGCAAGCCCAGUCUGGGAAUCUGCGCCAUGCAUGGGCCACCACUGGACUGGAACAGACAGACCCCAUUCCCUUCUGGUGUACGGGCUGGCAAACAAGAAGUACCAACACCCGCUACUCCCCGGCCAUAAGCGGUAGGCUUAUCUGGAGAAACACACGCUGUGAUGAUAGCUAUAGAGGUGAAAUGCAAUUGGAUGUCUGUGGUGCUUUGGUGUUUCACUGACAUUGCAGGUCAAGGGCCAGUGGUUUGAUCACAUGUUUAGAGGAUAGCAAUGCGCAGUGUGACAUCUAGGGGGGGAUCCCCUUCUGAGGGUUGCAGCCAUUGUUGAUUACCUAUGGUCUUGUUUUGGAAGUCCUAUAUCAUUUCCAUUGUUUUUUGGGUAGAUUUUAUUCUUUUUUUUGAGUAUGUCAAAUUGGAUGGCAGGGGCUGCUAUUUCAAAGAUAACAAGAU